CCGGGUGUAAUAGUUCCCGAGGUCUUGUACACACCGCCCGUCACACCAUGAGAGUUUGUAACACCCAAAGUCGGUGGGGUAACCUUUUAGGAGCCAGCCGCCUAAGGUGGGACAGAUGAUUAGGGUGAAGUCGUAACAAGGUAGCCGUAGGAGAACCUGCGGCUGGAUCACCUCCUUUCUAAGGAAUUAAUCGGAAACCUACACAUUGUCGAAACAGUGUUCAGUUUUGAGGGGUUUACCUCUCAGCUUGUACUUUGAAAA
rnacentral:misc_RNA from 1 species